AUUGAACGCUGGCGGCAGGCCUAACACAUGCAAGUCGAGCGGUAGAGAGAAGCUUGCUUCUCUUGAGAGCGGCGGACGGGUGAGUAAUGCCUAGGAAUCAGCCUGGUAGUGGGGGAUAACGUUCGGAAACGGACGCUAAUACCGCAUACGUCCUACGGGAGAAAGCAGGGGACCUUCGGGCCUUGCGCUAUCAGAUGAGCCUAGGUCGGAUUAGCUAGUUGGUGAGGUAAUGGAUCACCAAGGCGACGAUCCGUAACUGGUCUGAGAGGAUGAGCAGUCACACUGGAACGGAGACACGGUCCAGACUCCUACGGGAGGCAGCAGUGGGGAAUAUUGGACAAUGGGCGAAAGCCUGAUCCAGCCAUGCCGCGUGUGUGAAGAAGGUCUUCGGAUUGUAAAGCACUUUAAGUUGGGAGGAAGGGUUGUAGAUUAAUACUCUGCAAUUUUGACGUUACCGACAGAAUAAGCACCGGCUAACUCUGUGCCAGCCGCCGCGGUAA
rnacentral:rRNA from 1 species